GUCCAAGUAAUUAUGUUUUAAAGUAUACUUUUAUUCCACAUCUUAAGCCAACAGGAAUCACCAAAAGCAUUAAAUUAUCGUUAAUUUAAAGUUACUUUGGAGUUUGAGAAAUAUUUAUUUUGGAUGAAUGGCAGAUAUCCUUAUUUCUUAAAUUUGGAACUUUGAACAUGAAAUCUCCAAUAGAAACUGGAAGAUGGCAAAACAUAGAAAGAGAAAACAGAAAAUGUGUAUUGUGUUAAUAUUCAGAUGCCAUUGGUGAUGAAUACCAUUACAUUUUUAAUUGUUCAGCUUUCGAUAAUUGUAGAAAACAAUGUAUUGCAUUUUACAAUAGAAAUAGAACAAACACAUUGAAGUUUUAUGACUUAAUGAAUUCCCCAAAAUGUACAGAACUGAAC
rnacentral:lncRNA from 1 species